UACGGGGGGAGCAAGCGUUGUUCGGAUUUACUGGGCGUAAAGGGCGCGUAGGCGGCCACCGCGAGUCGACUGUGAAAUCUCCGGGCUUAACCCGGAAAGGUCAGCCGAUACUGCGGGGCUAGAGUGCAGAAGGGGCAACUGGAAUUCUCGGUGUAGCGGUGAAAUGCGUAGAUAUCGAGAGGAACACCUGCGGCGAAGGCGGGUUGCUGGGCUGACACUGACGCUGAUGCACGAAAGCGUGGGGAGCAAACAGG
rnacentral:rRNA from 1 species